CCCCUGGUGGUCUAGUGGUUCGGCUUAGGCACUCUGACUGCCGUGGCUGGGGUUCGAAUCCCGGUCAGGGAG